rnacentral:rRNA from 1 species
GUCUACGGCCAUACCACCCUGAACGCACCCGAUUUCGUCUGAUCUCGGAAAAAGGAAAGGUUGGGGUGGUAUUCCAUACCAACAGUAACCAAAAAAAAAUUGAGGUAGUUG